rnacentral:lncRNA from 1 species
GACCUACGAGACUAGACGUUGGAGAAUGACAAGCUCAGGUCGGCUAAUAAGCUCGAGGUCAGAUCGGAGCUCAAGCUCGAGGUCUGGAAAACUAGAUCGGGGACUCGGGGUCAGAGAGCGAGGUCGGGGACUCGGGGUCAGGUUGGAGGCGGCUCCAGUAGGCUUAGGUUGGAGAAUGAGGUCGGGAGUCGACGCAGGUCAGCUUGGAGAAGGAGAUCGGGAGUCGAUGCAGGUCAGCUUGGAGAAGGAGGUCUGGAGUCGAUCGUUAUCUAGGGUUCG